UCUCUCUCUUCGCAACAUCCUUCUAAUCUUCAAUUUUCUUCACACUUUCACAAAUUUGCCCCAAAAUUAGGUCUAUUUCGUCAAAAUUAAGCGAUAAUUGCACUCUAUUUCUCGCGAAUUCAAAUUUAAUUAAUGUUCUAUUGUAAUUUUCAUCUACAAUUUUAGAGUCCGUCAAAUUUCAUCUGCGACGCGUAAUUGUCACAGUGAUCUGCACAAUCAAGCUCGGAAUCAGAUGCGUGCCGGAGCUCCGGUUUCUUUCGUCGCCGUAAUCAAAUAAGUUACUUAAGUAUUUUCUCGCUCCUCUAUUGAUUUCAGAAUUUACAUGAUUUUCCGCUUUGUAAUUUUUAUAAUUUUGUAAUCGUUUGAACUUUUGUAUGUUGUUUUUCCUAUGCUUUUUCCUCAUUCUUAGUAUGUUAUUCUAUAGUAGUUAAUUGUUUUAAGAUUAUUUUUCCUAUUUUGCAAUUGUUUGAAUUAAAUAAUUUGUACUAUACAAAUUUGACCAGAAACUUAUCUAUAAACUACUGAAAGUAAUACGAAGUAUAAAAAUUCCAAAAAGUAAAAAAAAAAAAAAAAAAACUAUAGCAAUGUCUUUGUAUGUAGCUUUGGUUGGUUCUUGCUGCUUAUUUUCCUCAUGUUUGGAAUGAGAUUUCUGAAUUGUUUAACUCACCAACUUGCCAUGCAUGUGUUGGGAGAUUUUGAUCAAAUUGAGUAGUUGGAUGAAAAACUAGGGGUUUGAAUUUGAUUAGAGGAUAGUUAGGCCACAUGGAAUGACGAAUAGUUAUCCCUCCUCUGCUCAUGCUACCCCUCCUCUACUCAUGCUGCUUGAACAUCAACUGCAUUGAAUUUACCCAAGGUUCCACGCCAACAUGUAGCUAUCCCUCCUCUGCUCAUGCUGCUUGAACAUCAAUUGCAGGAGUCAUUUUUGUCAUUUUAUGAAUAUUGUUCUUGAUGACAACAUGCACUCUAUAAACCUCCCGGGAGCUUUUCCCCCUCACCGGGUUGUUGGUUCAUCCCAUGGCUACGUCAUUUUUGUCAGCUUAACUGGUGAAAUCUUUUGCCUAAACCCGAUUUCCAAGGACUGGAUUGAUUUUCCUUGUCUCUUUGUCUGCCCGACUGUGUGAGGUUAUGAUACAUAUGAACAACAUAAAUCAUGCGGAAAAACCUUAAUGCCAAGAAUCAUAUUAAUUGCACAUAAUCAUAUAAUUAGUCUAGGAUGCAUACACUUUGUAGCGUGCCCUACCUAGCUGGGCCCGAACCGAACAAGAACAAGUCACUACUACAAAAACUAGAAUAAAUAACACAAGAUAGGCAACGGUCAAGUAUAGGCGUCUUCUAUAAUUAUAGAGAACGCCUCCCUUAGAUAACGGUUACAUAAACGACAUAAAAAUAAAACACCUCUCUCUUUAACCGUUAUAUAUUCCUAGCAUAUAUUUUAAUUAACAUUUAUAAAUAAUAACAGAAUGUAUAGAGAACGCCUAAGUAAAUAUGCGUUUCGUGGUGGUGUAGUCGUGUAGGGAGGGUAGUGCCUCAUUUCCACCCAAAAAUAUUUUGAGUGAAUCGUUUCAAGUUUUAACCUAAAUAUUUGGGUUCCCGUCCAAUGCAUGAGCCGUCUAUCAUCAUAUUGAUAAAUACCCACUCUCUGGCGACCUACGAAGCAAGUACGAGUUCAAUCGAUGGUAGUGCAUACAGUUAUGAGAAGGGUCCUAACUCCUAAAUGGGCUGAUUAUAGGUCCAACAUUAUCAUCCCCCCGAUCUGGAUUCUUGCUCCAAAUCGCCUCACCUGAUUUAUUCCAAGCUAGUGAUGGUGAAAAGAUGAGGAAGCUAUCUAUUUAAUCACACUUGUAUUUCAGUUCAAUUAUUAGCUAGGCGAUAUAGGAUGAGAGGAGGAAAACAACCUCUUACGUUCAUUCAGCAUGUUAUAGAUAGAAAGUUUAAUUUCUUCAAUAUAGUACUUGUACAUUUGAGUAUUAAUACAAGAUUCCAAGAUGUGCUUGGAAUUAUAAUUUCAUACGAAGUAUUGAACUUCAACCAGUUAUGCUUUUUUUCAUUAAGAAAUGUACGGAGUGUUUGGAAUAAAAGUGAUAAUAUAUUGGAAAUUUGAAAUACUUUGCAA